CUUUUUGGUGUAACGUUGUACUACCUUGUGUGAACGGGUUAGAAGGUUUAAAUUGAUUAUUUCUGUGUAUUGUUGUUGUGAAGAUUUGUGUGAAGCUGAGAGUAGAGUAGCGUGCGGAUAAUAUAGUGUUUUUUUUUUUAAAAAAGCAGUGUGUGUGUGUGUGUGUGAAGUUGUCCAAUCAGAGUAAUUAUUAGAGUAAUUAGUAACACUAAUAGGUUAAUUAUAAGAAUGCACAUUAGUGUUGGUUUAGUUGUAGUGUAAAUAAGGAGCAGUUCAUGAUCAGACUAGGGAAUAUGACAGUUUAUGUAAGAUGAUAGAUACAGGGGUUUGUUUUCGGUUUAAACUUUUCACUCUGGGUAAAAAAAAAAACCCCAAAAACAUCAGUUUUCCGCAAAAUUAGCACGAAGAAUACAAGUAUGAAUGAAUCUAAUGCACUUUGAGAGGGAGAAUAGUGAUGCGAUCAUGUAAUGCAGUAGAGAGUGAGUGAGUAUAGUGUAUGUGUGUGUUUAUUUCUAGCAGAGCUGGUGCGUAAAGAGGCAUGGCGGACUCGGUGAAGACGUUCCAGGCGCAUCUGACCGCCGUGAUGGACAGCCUGGUGCGCGCGUCCGUGUGCGAGAUCACCAAGCUGUUCGAGGACACGGUGAACGACUACCUGGUGGAGAUCUCGCUCAACCGGAAGGAGAACGAGGCUUUGAAACUGCGCCUGAGACUCACCGAGAACAAGCUUAAGAACGAGCGGAAGUACGGGCUGGCCUGGGCGGCCAGUCGGCGCGCAGCCGGCCUGCUCGGUCCUGAUGAGACCGGCGCAGCAAAAAAGAGAAAGCUGGAGCCUAGUAAGCACAGGCACAAGUUCAUUACUACUAGAGGCAAGCAGGCCAAGGAGUGGAGCGGUGGCGUGUGGGAGGAGGGGGUUGGAGGAGCGAGGGAUGAGAGGAGGGACAAGAGGAGGGACGAGAGGAGGGACGUGGGCCGCACGCAUCCACCAACCACAGUGGAAGGAGAGGAGCAGGAGGAGGAGAGGAGACACGUCUCUGGGGAGAGAAAGGAGGUGGCCACUGUUAAGGAGGAGGUGAGCGGCCAAUCGGAGACGAGGAAGCCGG
ensembl:lncRNA